CAUCAGUUAGCCGCUAGCUUGUCUGGGAAAAUUCCAUUCAGUUAUCUUCUGACUGACAUCUGACAUCACUGCAGCAUUGAAGGACUUUCCCUUGUAGCUCUGUGACAAUCAGGAGAAGCUCUUCAGGAACUGUCUUGACACUGGCCCAGAAGAGGAGCAGACGAAGGGCCUCAUUGUGGGUAUCCUCACUGUAUUGGAGGAUGACGGUGCGUCCCUGCAUUGUGUCCUGAGUGUUGCAGUUGUUGUGGAAGACGAGAGUGUCCUUCAAGAUCUGACUGACUCCAAAAAACAGCUUUUGCUUACCUCUUUGGACUGAUCUGUGCUUUAAACAUGAAGAAGGUUAGGAGGGUUUUCAUGGAACUUGGUACAGACCUCUCUGCAAGAGUCAGAUCCCUCAAAAACAAACUCCUCCAGUGAAUCCACGAGAACUGAUAAUGUUGGAUCUGGAAUUGUUGACCUCUAAAAGUUCCCUUCUGUCCAGCCAUCAUCAUGUUAAUUUAUUCUUCCUGUUUCUCACUCCCGCUGGAUUGCAUUACAUAUUACUUACAUAUUUUACACUUUAUUGGGUUUUUCUUGAACAUGUUACAUGUUAAGAUGUUUGUAAAUGUUGUCACAUGGUAUUGAGCAGUGUUACAAAAACAUUUGCUUAUUUUGAGACUGGAAGUUCUGGCGCUCAGUAACCUUGUUAACAGCUUUAUUAGAUUCAUAGUUGUGUGUCAUAGUUGUUCUGUAUGGUCUUGUGUACAUGACUCAUGUUUGAUCUUUUAUCUUGGUUUAGAUUACUCAGUCUCAAAGUUUGGAAGUAUGCAAUGUAGCGCAAAUUGACUGCCAUUACUGGGACAAUUGGGUCUCAUUGGUUUGCAGCUAAUUUGAUGCAGCUUCAGUUUAAAUAAAACAAAUGUUUUG